AUUGAACGCUGGCGGCAGGCCUAACACAUGCAAGUCGAGCGGGGUGAGGUGCUUCGGUACUGAUCCUAGCGGCGGACGGGUGAGUAAUGCUUAGGAAUCUGCCUAUUAGUGGGGGACAACAUUCCGAAAGGAAUGCUAAUACCGCAUACGUCCUACGGGAGAAAGCAGGGGAUCUUCGGACCUUGCGCUAAUAGAUGAGCCUAAGUCGGAUUAGCUAGUUGGUGGGGUAAAGGCCUACCAAGGCGACGAUCUGUAGCGGGUCUGAGAGGAUGAUCCGCCACACUGGGACUGAGACACGGCCCAGACUCCUACGGGAGGCAGCAGUGGGGAAUAUUGGACAAUGGGCGGAAGCCUGAUCCAGCCAUGCCGCGUGUGUGAAGAAGGCCUUUUGGUUGUAAAGCACUUUAAGCGAGGAGGAGGCUACCUAGAUUAAUACUCUGGGAUAGUGGACGUUACUCGCAGAAUAAGCACCGGCUAACUCUGUGCCAGCAGCCGCGGUAACAC
rnacentral:rRNA from 1 species